AAGUCGUAACAAGGUCUCCGUUGGUGAACCAGCGGAGGGAUCAUUACAGAGUUGAAAAACUCCAACCCUUGUGUAUCUUACCUUCGUCGUUGCUUCGGUGGCAAAGGUGUCCUCCCUCCGCGGGGGGGUUACGGCGCCGCCGGAGGUUUACAAACUCUUGGUUUUUAGUGUAUCUCUGAGUUUAAAAAAUAAUAAUAAUUAAAACUUUCAACAACGGAUCUCUUGGUUCUG
rnacentral:misc_RNA from 1 species